UACGUAGGCAGCAAGCGUUGUUCGGAGUUACUGGGCGUAAAGGGCGCGUAGGCGGCCUUCUAAGUCAGACGUGAAAUCCCCCGGCUUAACCUGGGAACUGCGUCUGAUACUGGGAGGCUUGAGUAUGGGAGAGGGAUGUAGAAUUCCAGGUGUAGCGGUGAAAUGCGUAGAUAUCUGGAGGAAUACCGGUGGCGAAGGCGGCAUCCUGGACCAUAACUGACGCUGAGGCGCGAAAGCUAGGGGAGCAAACGGG
rnacentral:rRNA from 1 species